CUGGUUCAUCGAGGUUUCCGUUUUCUGUCAGUAAGGUAAAGAAGUGGUGGUCGGUCUGAGAAUAUUCUUGGGCCAUCACUGGCCAUAGAUUCCGACUUCCAUGCAGGUCCUAUAAGCCAAGACACUGCCGCUCCUCCAAGCAAGCCUCCUAGCUGAAAUUGUAAGUUAAGAUUUUAAGCAAUCUCAGUAGUAAAACUUUAAAUACAGGUAUACUACAAGUACACGUGUAAGAAGGACGGUAGUUAAGACUUACAUGACCCCAAUCAUCAAUGCCACUUGACAUUAGUCCAAUAACCUGCAUGAUCCGCAUUCAUUUCCACUGAGCUCGGAGAAAAAUAAGAGCAAAAGCGUUUGAUAGGCUGUUUAGGGUUCUCAUAGGUUGAGUAGCAAAAGCUUUGAAUCAUACCAUGUUUAGGAAAUAACUUGCGAUAUGUGUUGCAGAUCUUCUUUGGCAUCUCUGAUCAUACCUCUAUGUCUCAUGACAAACACAGCAACAGAA
rnacentral:lncRNA from 1 species